CCCUUAGAUGUCCUGGGCUGCACGCGCGCUACACUGAUGUGUCCAGUAAGCACCUAACCUCUUCCGAAAGGAACGGGUAACCUUUGCAAAGCACAUCGUGAUGGGGAUAGAUUAUUGCAAUUAUUAGUCUUGAACGAGGAAUUCCUAGUAAGCACAAGUCAUCAGCUUGUGUUGAUUACGUCCAUGCCCUUUGUACACACCGCCCGUCGCUCCUACCGAUUGAAUGUUCCGGUGAGCUCUUCGGACUGCGCGGUCUGCAGUUUCUGCGUUCCGUGCGGAAAGUUGCGCAAACCUUAACAUUUAGAGGAAGGAGAAGUCGUAACA
rnacentral:rRNA from 1 species